AAGAGAACUAAUGCAGUGAUUGGUAGAAUAAUCCUAUAGGCGGUCCUUAAUGCCUGUUGCUGAGGCCGGAAAAUUCUGGAAUUGUUCUUCUCGUCUUUCGCCAUUUUAAACUCGUCAGCCCAGCCAACUGAGGUCCGAACCCUUGUGCUGCGAGGACUGCCUGUCCUGCUCGGGGAUGAUGAGUCUGCUUUUUUUAAGUCAUGUUUGGUGUCUGAUCGUCGCAAUUCUAUCCUUGAUGUGCCAGUGGGGAUCUUAUUUGAGCACACCGAUCUUCAGCCCCCCAACUCCUUGCAUUUCAAUUCCUCGAUUGGCAUAAUUCUUGAAGGUCAAAUGGUGAUAGACAAGAUGCCGGACCUCACACAAGCAAUGUGUGUCCUCUUUGGGCUAAUUUAUGCGUUAGACCUGAAUUACCCCCAAAUCCCUUGCAAACACUUUUGAUUUUAUACAGCGGGUACUGAUGUCAAUGGGACAGAAUGCCCUCAAGCCCAAAGUACAGUCUCUGGCAAACCAGCUUUACUGUUAAAAAUGUUUAGUUGUUUAUGUGCACAAAGUUGCAGCAGUGAUGUUGUGCAGCAGUUAAGGUGAUGUUAAUUCUGAUGGUUUUUUUUAUUUACACUGAAAUUUAAUUCAUUUAUCUGUACAUUUUUGGAGAGUGUGGCUGU